CAACUACUCCCUCUGUCCCAAAUUUCUUGUCUUAGAUUUGUCUAGAUACAGAUGUAUCUAAUACUAAAAUGUGACUUGAUACAUCCGUAUCUAGACAAAUCUAAGACACGAAUUUUGGGACGGAGGGAGUACUUU
rnacentral:pre_miRNA from 1 species